rnacentral:rRNA from 1 species
GACGAACGCUGGCGGCGUGCUUAACACAUGCAAGUCGAACGGAAAGGCCCCUUUGGGGGUACUCGAGUGGCGAACGGGUGAGUAACACGUGAGUAACCUGCCCUUGACUUCGGGAUAACUUCAGGAAACUGGGGCUAAUACCGGAUAGGAAUCCUUGCUGCAUGGUGGGGGUUGGAAAGCUUCGGCGGUUUUGGAUGGACUCGCGGCUUAUCAGCUUGUUGGUGGGGUAGUGGCUUACCAAGGCUUUGACGGGUAGCCGGCCUGAGAGGGCGACCGGCCACAUUGGGACUGAGAUACGGCCCAGACUCCUACGGGAGGCAGCAGUGGGGAAUAUUGCACAAUGGGCAGAAGCCUGAUGCAGCAACGCCGCGGGCGGGAGGACGGCCUUCGGGUUGUAAACCGCUUUCAGCAGGGGCGAAGCUUGUGGUGACGGUACCUGCAGAAGAAGCACCGGCUAACUACGUG